GUUAGUGAGGGCAUUGCCUUAAGGGGAGAGCAUGUUAACUGGAUAAAGGUUUUCUCUUUUCUUCAACUCCAGCUUCUAGCUCAUGACUUAAACAUAGCAGAUGCUUUAUUAAUAUUGGAGGAAGGUAAACAAACAGGCAGAAAGAGGAAAGAAUGAUUCACAAGUGAUAGAAACUUCCUGAGUAGUCCAGAAGCUACUAUUCACAAAAUCUACUCGCUGGAGUGAACAUUCUGAUUGCAUUCUAUGGAUAUUUUAGCAAUAAUCAUAGGAAGAUCCUCUGGGUAUUUGGUUAUAAAUGCUUUUCGUUAUUUAUUGUUGAAUAACAAACCUAUGUAAAAGUAGAUCUGUUUGGUUGCAUGGCAGGGAGACCAUGGGAAUUCACAUAUUUUGAGCAUCCAUUAUAUUCCAGAUGGAAAGCACGUCCUUCACCAUAAGUUGCUUUUGUCUGUUUUUCAACAUUAGGUCACAACUAGGAUCUAUUUCCUGCCUUUUCUUACGACCAUGAAUCAUGAAUAUUAAUGCAAUUCCAUUAAGGUUGCCACGGAGUGUCCAGGAUGCUGGUGGAGGGGGCGGUAGGCUGCCACUUUAUCAUGUUAUUGGAUUUGUUUAAAGAAAGGUUCCUGACACGAUUUUCCAAAUGCAGCCUGGUGAGCAGUCCCUGCCAUCA
rnacentral:lncRNA from 1 species